rnacentral:lncRNA from 10 species
CAGGAGAAAAGCAGAAGGUUCUGGAGUCCAGAACACCAGCUCUUAGUGCCAGGAACUGCCAGGUAAGAAUUCUGACUACACUGAGGCCACCAUGCUCUGAGGAAGUCAAGCCAGAUGGAAAGAUCACAGCAGGAGAACUGGUCAGCAGUCAUACUCUUGAACUCAUCCCAACCCAGACUCCAGACAUGUGAAUUGACAAGUCUUCAGAUGAUUCCAGCACAAAGCCAUUGAGUCACCUCCAGCCAUUGAGUGUCCCCAGCCGAGACACCAGUCACCAUCAAGCAGAGCCAGUAUGCCUGUUAUGCCUGUCCAAAUUC